rnacentral:lncRNA from 1 species
CCCCAGCAGUUAAAUUAGAGAACUUAAUUUAGCUUCUUUUUUCCUCAUCUUUUUUCAGGGCCUCCUUUUCCUUUAUUUGUUUCCAAAUCUUCAAUCAUAAAGUGUUGAAAUAUAUCAAGUAUUAAUAUAGUCACAGUUUUAAUAAAAGGAAAUAUAACCAUCAUUUAACUAGUUAAUUUAAUCUUCAACUUAAUCUAAGCAAUUAUUUUUUGUUUUGCUUUAGUUUUCAUAGUGGCUUUAAAAAAUGUCAGAAACACUGUUUUGGCUACAAUCAUAAAUUCCCUUUUGAACUUCUGAAGUGCUAGACUAAGAAUGGAGUUCAUAAACUUUAAAAAGUACUACUUAAAACAAAUCAAAAAUAUGAUAGUGUUUUUAAAAUUUAAAAUUGAUGAGUGAAUUGGUUUUCUUGAUUAGUUAUGCAUUUUUUCUCUAUUUUAUAAUUAGAAAGAUCUAAUACUUCAUUGCAUUUCAUUAAAUACGUAGUCUCAUGUUGGUAUUUUGCCAGAGUAGUAUUUUAUUUUAUUUUAUU